GUGUGAAUUUUUGUGUUUUUAUGUUAUGGUUACUGCUAAAAUUAAAUCUUCCGGUUUGUGCUCUUUAAAGUAAAACGUACAUCGUGGUCAGCAACCUCUUGGGUCUUCCUACUCGACACACGGUACCUGGUGAUAUUACAGCUCAAUAUUACAGCUUAUCCUGCUGAAGCAAUUCAUAAUUUGGGUAUUGCUGUUCGAAACAUUGUUGAUGUGAACGAUUUACCGAUGGAGCAAUCAGGCACACCAUUUCCCGGAUACGCCCGGUUCCCGGAUCGCUCCCCAUGCGGAGCCGGGUAUUCAGAUGUCACCGGUUUCGGUCUCAUCUGCCUUUGCUGACCACAACUGAGUGUGCAUCCCAUAACGAUACAAGCUUUCACAGUUCCAGACAGCUGAAGGUGUCCGACAUCCUUAUACUUAAGCGCAUGGUUCCACCAAAGCAAAACCCCAAACAACACAUAGUUCAAAUACUGCCACAAGCACUGCUUUCGAAAGUGGACAGCAGUCAGUCGCUAGUGGAUUGAACCCCGUCCGGUUCUUCAACAACAUCGUCGGUCAUGCAUACCUGAUUUAUAAUGGGAAAACGCAAGGAUCGUCUUCUGGCAGAAACACCCCAUGUGACGCCAUCAUCCAGUUUCCAAUCUCGAUUUUCUGGGGCUUCAUCCAAAAUGACAUCCUUCUUGGCUUCACUGAAUCCCGGCCGAUGGGAACACAAGUCGUCAUCUUCUCCGUCGCACUAUUUGAAUUCAUCCUUUGCGAAGGACGGUUCAAAUGCAUUGGCUAAGAGUCAGUCUAAUUCUGACAACAGUAAUUGCUGCUGUUAACCGAGAAAAGACAAGUCAGUGAAUCGCAUCACCUUCGUCAAUCGUUACUCGACGGGUGGCGUUGCGGCAACAAGUAGUGCGGAACAUCCGGCUUGUUCGAUUCUAUCCAAGUAGACGGCGUUCAUAAAAAGAGAUAAAAAGCUAGAUGAAAACCAGAGUAAUUGCAUGUCAGCUCUGAAAGAGCUUCAAGAUACGAUCGAAAGUGACUUCAAAGGCAGACGAAAUGGCAAACCACUACGGUUUGAUGCGUGUUAUGUUGAGCUACAAGGUCUUUGCCAACCUUCCGCUGGAUGCUAACUUCUCGUGCUAUGUGACGCCGACCAUUGACCGUGCAUCGUUCAUUGUAUUUGUGCCAAAGUUAAAUGGAUGCGUUAGACAGUUUCAGCAGUUCCCAGUCAACGUGCAUAACUUUUCAGCUGACUUUGGAAGCCAUUCGAAUACAGUGUUCUUAAAUUUUUCAAUACGUACCAGCCUUUUUCUCGAAUGAAAUAGUUCAGACAUUAACCCUCUCCCGCCCACGGUGUCUGUGGUGCACCACCAAAUUUUGCACCUUCUAACCUUCAUCGAAUUGUUUCAACAACAAAAAGGAAUAUUGGACACAUCUUUAUGGUUCCAUUAGACUGGAAAUAUAAUCAAUUUUGAGUACAACUAGCAUUUUUCUCAAAGAUGAUUCCUUCCUAUUGAAAUCUUUAAAAAAAAGUCGUGGGCGGGAAAGGGUUAAGUGAUUAUGUGUGUCUAGCAGUAUCUAACUUUCAACGACACCCCGAGUGUGCACAAAUCUACGUCAAAGAAAGGAAGGCACCGUUAAGAUAGAUUAAUUAAAUUAAAUUAAAACUUAACUUAAGAAAAAAAAAUAAAAUUAAAUUGAAAUUAAAUUUAACAUUUCAUAAGACGAGUUAGUACUAUCUCAUCCAUUUCCACCACUUGAUUGUAACUUCAACAUAAACGCCGUCUUCAGUGCCUCGUACUAAACUCAGUGUCUUUUCAUGCACUAUUCCUGCGCUAUACAAUCUAUUAAAAUUUAAUUGAAUUAAAAUUAAUAGGAAUAAAUCAAAAUUAAACCAAAAGUGAAGAAGAUUAAAUUUGAAUUAAAUUCAAAAUAAUUUUACAGUAUGAUUUUUUGUUCUAUGAUAUAUUUUAUUAUAGGAAAAAAUCCACAUUUCCUGUGA